GAAAAGGCCCAAGCGACUGUUUACCAAAAACACAAGUUUCUGCUAAGUCGAAAGACGAAGUAUAGGAGCUGACACCUGCCCGGUGCUGGAAGGUUAAGGGAAAAAGUUAGCGCGAGCGAAGCUUAGAACUGAAGCCCCAGUAAACGGCGGCCGUAACUAUAACGGUCCUAAGGUAGCGAAAUUCCUUGUCGGGUAAGUUCCGACCCGCACGAAAGGUGUAACGAUUUGGGCACUGUCUCAACAAAGGAUCCGGUGAAAUUGUAGUAGCGGUAAAGAUGCCGCUUACCCACGACAGGACGGAAAGACCCCGUGGAGCUUUACUGUAGGCUGAGAUUGAAUUUUGGGAUUAAAUGUACAGAAUAGGUGGGAGGCUAAGAAUUAGGUACGCCAGUAUCUAAGGAGCCACCGUUGGGAUACCACUCUUUUGAUACUAGAAUUCUAACCUAAUCCCGUGAAACCGGGAAAGGGACACUCUCAGUUGGACAGUUUGACUGGGGCGGUCGCCUCCAAAAGAGUAACGGAGGCGUUCAAAGGUUCCCUCAGCACGGACGGAAAUCGUGCAAAGAGUAUAAAGGCAGAAGGGAGCUUAACUGCGAGACCAACAAGUCGAGCAGAUGCGAAAGCAGGACUUAGUGAUCCGGUGGUACCGAGUGGAAGGGCCAUCGCUCAACGGAUAAAAGCUACCCCGGGGAUAACAGGCUUAUCUCCCCCAAGAGUCCACAUCGACGGGGAGGUUUGGCACCUCGAUGUCGGCUCGUCUCAUCCUGGGGCUGAAGUAGGUCCCAAGGGUUGGGCUGUUCGCCCAUUAAAGAGGCACGCGAGCUGGGUUCAGAACGUCGCGAGACAGUUCGGUCCCUAUCCGUCGUGGGCGUAGGAAAUUUGAGAGGAGCUGUCCUUAGUACGAGAGGACCGGGAUGGACAAACCUCUGGUGCACCAGUUGUACUGCCAAGUGCAUAGCUGGGAAGCUAAGUUUGGAAGGGAUAAGAGCUGAAGGCAUCUAAGCCCGAAGCCCCCCUCGAGAUGAGAUUUCCCUCGAAAGAUAAGACCCCUAGAAGAAAAUUAGGUAGAUAGGCUCAAGGUGUAAGUGUAGCAAUACAUUCAGCUAGCGAGUACUAAUAGGUCGAAGACUUGACCAA
rnacentral:rRNA from 1 species